CGAGGGAUUUUCGGCAAUGGGCGCAAGCCUGACCGAGCAACGCCGCGUGCGGGACGAGGCCCUUCGGGGUGUAAACCGCUUUUGGGCGGGACGAUGGUGACGGUACCGCCCGAAUCAGCCUCGGCUAACUACGUGCCAGCAGCCGCGGUAAGACGUAGGAGGCGAGCGUUGUCCGGAGUCACUGGGCGUAAAGCGCGCGCAGGCGGCCGCGUGGGCCAUCGCGUGAAAGCCCCCGGCUCAACCGGGUGGUAGCGGGUGGGACCGCGCGGCUGGAGGGUGGUAGGGGCCGGUGGAAUUCCCGGUGUAGUGGUGAAAUGCGUAGAGACCGGGAGGAACACCCGCGGCGAAGGCGGCCGGCUGGGCCACACCUGACGCUGAGGCGCGAAGGCCAGGGGAGCGAACGGG
rnacentral:rRNA from 1 species